GAUCAUGGCUCAGGAUGAACGCUGGCGGCGUGCCUAAUACAUGCAAGUAGAACGCUGAAGGAAGGAGCUUGCUCUUUCCGGAUGGGUUGCGAACGGGUGAGUAACGCGUAGGUAACCUGCCUGGUAGCGGGGGAUAACUAUUGGAAACGAUAGCUAAUACCGCAUAACAGUAGAUGUUGCAUGACAUUUACUUGAAAGGUGCAAUUGCACCACUACCAGAUGGACCUGCGUUG
rnacentral:rRNA from 1 species